UCAUCUCUACAUAAGGUGCAGGAAUUUAAUAAAUUUUUCUUGGUGUGAAUUUCUUCGCCAGGCGUUGUUAGUGAGGUUAUGGCCGGCCAGGCGACGCUUCGUCAGACUCACCAGGUGUUACUAAGCCGGGCUGUGACUCACCUGGUGUUACUAAGCCAGGCUGUGACUCAAAUGGUGUUACUAAGCCAGACUGGGACUCACCUGGUGUUACUAAGCCGGGCUGUGACUCACCUGGUGUUACUAAGCCAGGUUGUGACUCACCUGGUGUUACUAAGCCGGGCUGUGACUCACCUGGUGUUACUAAGCCAGGUUGUGACUCACCAGGUGUUACUAAGCCAGGCUGUGACUCACCAGGUGUUACUAAGCCAGGCUGUGACUCACCUGGUGUUACUAAGCCGGGCUGUGACUCACCUGGUGUUACUAAGCCAGGCUGUGACUCACCAGGUGUUACUAAGCCAGGCUGUGACUCACCAGGUGUUACUAAGCCAGGCUGUGACUCACCAGGUGUUACUAAGCCAGGCUGUGACUCACCAGGUGUUACUAAGCCAGGCUGUGACUCACCAGGUGUUACUAAGCCAGGCUGUGACUCACCAGGUGUUACUAAGCCAGGCUGUGACUCACCAGGUGUUACUAAGCCAGGCUGUGACUCACCAGGUGUUAAUAAGCCGGGCUGUGACUCACCAGGUGUUACUAAGCCAGGCUGUGACUCACCAGGUGUUACUAAGCCGGGCUGUGACUCACCAGGUGUUACUAAGCCGGGCAGUGACUCACCAGGUGUUACUAAGCCAGGCUGUGACUCACCAGGUGUUACUAAGCCAGGCUGUGACUCACCAGGUGUUACUAAGCCGGGCUGUGACUCACCUGGUGUUACUAGUCUUACUUUACUCUGUGGAGAACAUGUUCACUUCGUACACCAGACAGUUCGUACACAGAUUUCUACGAACGUAACCGAAUCUUGUCGAUCCUAAACAAUCGUCAACAACUUGGCUGUUCGAUCUGAAUAUGAGCUUCUACACUCUAACUCUGAAGUUUUAUGUCACCUUCGUGUGAAUGACGACCUGAGGGACAAGUCAAGCUGGAGCGAACAACUUAGCUAACUCUCUUCGGGAAAGUUUAAGCUUCUGUUGGGCUUUGAUUUCAUACUCAUGUCCCCCCUCCCCUCUCUCUCUCUCUCUCUCUGUCCCGUCUUCAAUUCGCUAUCCUCCAUGAAAUCCAACCCUAUCUCAGAUCCUCCCUCCCACUCCGCAGCUCUCCCCUCCCUCCCACUCUCCCUCACUCUUCCAUCCUUCCCUCACAAAGCCUGAACAACGGGAGGCUAAAAAAGAUGGCCUUCCGCUCCAAGAAAACCACACACGCAUGAAUUUAAUAUUGAGCGUCCGAGGACCCGUCUGACUUAUUGCGGGGAGCGGCAGUGCCACGGAGAUGUGUAUUACAGAGGCUACGAUACACACGAUACCUUAGAGACGCUACGAUACACACGAUACCUUAGAGACGCUACGAUACACACGAUACCUUAGAAACGCUACGAUAGACACUACGUUAGACUGUCUGAUAGACAGUGACGUUAAGAGACAGUACACUAACACUAAACUGAUUGUAAUCUAAUAAUUAUCAUAAUAAUAAUUAAAACGAUAAUAAUAAUAAUAAUAAUAAUAAUAAUAAUAAUAAUAAUAAUAAUAAUAAUAAUAGUAAUAAUAAUAAUAAUAAUAAUAAUAAUUAUGGGAAUAAUACACACAGAUGAGUAAAGUAUUCCUGGGCGACACAGAGAUGAGUAGAAGGUUCCUGGAGUAGAAUAUACUCCAGGAACUCCAGGAAUGAGAUGAGUAGAGGGUACACAAACACACACACACACACGCGCGCGCGCACGCAACGGUCUGAAGCCAACUUCGCCUAGAAUAAGAAGCGCUCCUCCCUCUCUAUUCUUCACCUUCAGGGUCCCGUCACAGUGUGAUAAUAGACGUGUAAUAGACAUAUAUAUACUCUUCUAUUUCCUAAUAUUUGACUUGUAUUCCACCUAACACAUUCCUCUAAUCUCUUUUGGCGGCCCAACAUCCUUCUCAGACCUUUCUUGUUUUCAAUCACCUUAUGGAGUCAUAUUAUAUUCAGUGUCAUCUCGUAUGCUCUUUUAAAAUUUUUAUGUUGCUUUGGUACUUAUGUCCAACACUAUAUAAUAUGGCUAAUGCUAUAUAAUACUUUUAACACUAUAUAAUACAUCUAAC